UCGUGGCGUCAUCACGCAGCGCCGGAAGUGGUGAGGCUUCGAAGAGAGUCCUGGGUUUGUCUGUGUCCGCCGUCUCGAGAGUAAUGAUGCGGGUGUGCUGGUUGGUGAGACAGGAUAACCGGCACCAGCGAAUCAAACUUCCACAUUUGGAAGCAGUCAUGGUUGGGCGUGGUCCAGAGACCAAGAUCGUUGACAAGAAAUGUUCGCGACAACAAGUACAGUUGAAAGCAGAGUGUAACAAAGGAUAUGUCAAGGUAAAGCAGGUAGGGGUCAAUCCCACCAGCAUUGACUCAGUCAUAAUUGGGAAGGACCAAGAGGUGAAGCUGCAGCCUGGCCAGGUUCUCCACAUGGUGAAUGAACUUUAUCCAUAUAUCGUAGAAUUUGAGGAAGAAGCAGAGAGCCCUGGCCUGGAAACACACAGGAAGAGAAAGAGGUCAGGCAGCAGUGAUUCUAUAGAAAGAGAUGCUGCCCAGGAAGCUGAGUCCUGUACAGGACUGGAACCUGGGAGUGAUCCUAGCCAAUCUGCUCUGCCCUCAAAAAAGAGGAAAGAUGUAUCUACCAAAAAGGAAUCAUUGGGCCACUGGAGUCAAGGCUUGAAAAUUUCUAUGCAGGAUCCCAAAAUGCAGAUUUACAAAGAUGAGCAGGUGGUGGUGAUUAAGGAUAAAUAUCCCAAGGCUCGUCACCAUUGGCUGGUCUUACCAUGGGCUUCCAUUUCCAGUCUGAAGGUUGUGACCAGGGAACACCUUGAGCUCCUCAAACACAUGCACACUGUGGGGGAAAAGAUGAUCACAGAUUUUGCUGGGUCCAGCAAACUCCGCUUCCGAUUGGGUUACCAUGCCAUUCCCAGCAUGAGCCAUGUACACCUUCAUGUGAUCAGCCAGGAUUUUGAUUCUCCUUGCCUUAAAAACAAAAAACAUUGGAAUUCUUUCAAUACAGAAUACUUCCUAGAAUCACAAGCUGUGAUAGAGAUGGUACAGGACACUGGCAGAGUGAGUGUCCGAGAUGGGAUGCCUGAGCUCUUGAAGCUGCCUCUCCGUUGUCACGAGUGUCAGCAGCUGCUGCCUUCCAUUCCUCAGCUGAAAGAGCAUCUCAGGAGGCACUGGCCAAAGUGAUUCCAUGGAGCCUGGACUUUUGCAGCAGACCAUGAAGUUCUUUAGAACAGAUGCUGUUUUUUGGUUCUCCAUCAAGUACUCAAUGAAAUUCAUUGUACCUGGAUCAUAAUAGGAUCCCAAUAAAAUUUGGAGUGGAUGAGACCUCAUGUUUCAUUGAAAGCAUGAAGAAAACAACCCUCUCUGUUGCAGCUGAAUUUAAUUGUCAAGUGUGUCUGGAUAAAGGGGAUUCCUUCCUGUUCAAAUCCAACUCCUCACCUUUACCUCAAGUCCAAGAAGGAAGCAUUUGUGUUCUGGGCAGGAGGAUGGAGGAAAAGAGGAAGAAGGGGAUUAAGGACUCACAAAUACUCUCUGAAGAAGUUUCCUGGAAUCUCCUUCAUGGCUCUUCUUUUUGUAUUACCAUGGUCAGAAUUCAGCCACAAGCCAUAGGUGACCAAGCUUUAAGGGAGUUUGUGAAAUAUAACCUUUAUUUUGGGCAAAUCUAUAUCCAACUAAAAAUUUUAUUAGUACAGAAGCAGCACAGAAUGAAAAUCGGAGAUAGCGAACAGUCUCUGCAGUCUCUGCCAGUGUUCUUUUGCACAUGAAAAAAAUUGAGUUGCCUUUCUCUUUCUUAUUUUUUACUUAUAUUGCAAAUGUUUUACAAAUUUAGAUCUUUUAAUCUUUUAAUUUAGUGUAUGCUAUCUCAUGAUACAGAGGUUUAAAAUUGUUAUGUCACUGAAACAUGCAUUCCUUUUUUUAAAAAAAAUUGAUUGUUUCUGGAAUUCAUAUUUUGCUUAAAUAGUCCUUCCUUAUCCAUAUGCUCUCAUAUUUUCUUUUACUUUUUAAAAAAACAUU